GCCGGGAUAGCUCAUUUGGUAGAGCAGAGGACUGAAAAUCCUCCUGUCACCACUUCAAAUA
rnacentral:tRNA from 1 species